GAUGAACGCUGGCGGCGUGCCUAACACAUGCAAGUCGAACGGGAAUCUUCGGAUUCUAGUGGCGGACGGGUGAGUAACGCGUAAGAAUCUAACUUCAGGACGGGGACAACAGUUGGAAACGACUGCUAAUACCCGAUAUGCCGCAAGGUGAAACCUAAUUGGCCUGAAGAAGAGCUUGCGUCUGAUUAGCUAGUUGGUGGGGUAAAAGCCUACCAAGGCGACGAUCAGUAGCUGGUCUGAGAGAAUGAGCAGCCACACUGGGACUGAGACACGGCCCAGACUCCUCCGGGAGGCAGCAGUGGGGAAUUUUCCGCAAUGGGCGAAAGCCUGACGGAGCAACGCCGCGUGAGGGAGGAAGGUCUUUGGAUUGUAAACCUCUUUUCUCAAGGAAGAAGUUCUGACGGUACUUGAGGAAUCAGCCUCGGCUAACUCCGUGCCAGCCGCCGCGGUAAAAC
rnacentral:rRNA from 1 species